AACGAAGCACGGGAGCUUGCUCCCGUGACUGAGUGGCGGACGGGUGAGUAACACGUGAGCAACCUGCCCUAUACACAGGGAUAACACAGAGAAAUUUGUGCUAAUACCGGAUAAGACCACGACGGGGCAUCCCGAUGCGGUCAAAGCGAUAGCGGUAUAGGAGGGGCUCGCGGCCCAUUAGUUAGUUGGUGAGGUAACGGCCCACCAAGACAGCGAUGGGUAGCCGACCUGAGAGGGUGACCGGCCACAUUGGGACUGAGACACGGCCCAAACUCC
rnacentral:rRNA from 1 species